AUUGAACGCUGGCGGCAGGCCUAACACAUGCAAGUCGAGCGAGCGGCGGACGGGUGAGUAAUGUAUGGGAAUCUGCCUGAUGGAGGGGGAUAACUACUGGAAACGGUAGCUAAUACCGCAUACCAUCAGAUGUGCCCAGAUGGGAUUAGCUAGUAGGUGGGGUAAUGGCUCACCUCGGCGACGAUCCCUAGCUGGUCUAGGAGGAUAACAAGCCACACUGGAACUGAGACACGGCCCAGACUCCUACGGGAGGCAGCAGUGGGGAAUAUUGCACAAUGGACGCAAGCCUGAUGCAGCCAUGCCGCGUGUAUGAAGAAGGCCAUCGGGUUGUAAAGCACUUUCAGCGGGGAGGCGUUACUCGCAGAAGAAGCACCGGCUAACUCCGUGCCAGCAGCCGCGGUAAUUC
rnacentral:rRNA from 1 species